GAUGAACGCUGGCGGCGUGCCUAACACAUGCAAGUCGAGCGAUCUUCUUCGGAAGAGAGCGGCGGACGGGUGAGUAACGCGUGGGUAACCUGCCCUGUACACACGGAUAACAUACCGAAAGGUAUGCUAAUACGAGAUAAUAUGCUUUUAUCGCAUGGUAGAAGUAUCAAAGCUCCGGCGGUACAGGAUGGACCCGCGUCUGAUUAGCUAGUUGGUAAGGUAACGGCUUACCAAGGCGACGAUCAGUAGCCGACUGAGAGGGUGAUCGGCCACAUUGGAACUGAGACACGGUCCAAACUCCUACGGGAGGCAGCAGUGGGGAAUAUUGCACAAUGGGCGAAAGCCUGAUGCAGCAACGCCGCGUGAGCGAUGAAGGCCUUCGGGUCGUAAAGCUCUGUCCUCAAGGAAGAUAAUGACGGUACUUGAGGAGGAAGCCCCGGCUAACUACGUGCCAGCAGCCGCCGCAG
rnacentral:rRNA from 1 species